rnacentral:rRNA from 1 species
UGGGGAAUAUUGGACAAUGGGCGGAAGCCUGAUCCAGCAACGCCGCGUGAGGGAUGACGGCCUUCGGGUUGUAAACCUCUUUCACCACCGACGAAGCGCAAGUGACGGUAGGUGGGGAAGAAGCACCGGCCAACUACGUGCCAGCAGCCGCGGUAAUACGUAGGGUGCGAGCGUUGUCCGGAAUUAUUGGGCGUAAAGGGCUCGUAGGCGGUUUGUCGCGUCGGGAGUGAAAACCUCGGGCUUAACUCGGGGCUUGCUUUCGAUACGGGCAGACUGGAGGUAUGCAGGGGAGAACGGAAUUCCUGGUGUAGCGGUGAAAUGCGCAGAUAUCAGGAGGAACACCGGUGGCGAAGGCGGUUCUCUGGGCAUGACCUGACGCUGAGGAGCGAAAGUGUGGGGGAGCGGAACAGGAUUAGAUACCCUGGUAGUCCACACCGUAAACGUUGGGCGCUAGGUGUGGGAUCCAUUCCACGGGUUCCGUGCCGCAGCUAACGCAUUAAGCGCCCCGCCUGGGGA